rnacentral:rRNA from 1 species
AGCGAACGCUGGCGGCAGGCCUAACACAUGCAAGUCGAACGAACCUUUCGGGGUUAGUGUCGGACGGGUGAGUAACACGUGGGAACGUGCCUUUAGGUUCGGCAUAACUCAGGGAAACUUGUGCUAAUACCGAAUGUGCCCUUCGGGGGAAAGAUUAAUCGCCUUUAGAGCGGCCCGCGUCUGAUUAGCUAGUUGGUUGAGGUAAUGGCUCACCAAGGCGACGAUCAGUAGCUGGUCUGAGAGGAUGAUCAGCCACAUUGGGACUGAGACACGGCCCAAACUCCUACGGGAAGCAGCAGUGGGGAAUCUUGCGCAAUGGGCGAAAGCCUGACGCAGCCAUGCCGCGUGAAUGAUGAAGGUCUUAGGAUUGUAAAAUUCUUUCACCGGGGACGAUAAUGACGGUACCCGGAGAAGAAGCCCCGGCUAACUUCGUG